UGCGGCGAAGGCGGCGGCCUUUGUCACCCGCCGAGGGGUGAAAGGGACGGGAGAGGAAACAAUACAGGCCAUGGAGCUGUGGGACACAAGCAUGGCAAACACGGCGAGUUGGCCCGAAACCACGAGAAGCAUGUGGACCGAGACCGUGCCGCCUACGGGAGCAGCUGAAAAUGCUCGCACAAGGCAGCGCUGGAGAAACGUCUCCUCAUUAGAAGACUGCGGCGGAGUGUAGAAUGCGUCUCGUUACCUGGAUCUCUCUCCAUAAAGAGGUGUGGACCUUGAACUGAAGAGAAUAUGAUUGCAUGGACACCGGUGUCCGGUGCUACUCGCUGACUCCCUCUGCUGUCUGACUGAGGAUCUGCAGCACAGGGCCUCUUGGUGGCUCUGGCGGGGACUCCAUCCUCUCUUCACAUAACCUUCCAAUGGCCCAUAAUGCCCUGCUCUUAACAAGAGGCUAUGUCAGAAUUGCAGCUCAGAAUACAGGAGCUGAGAAAUGAUCUCAUCUCAAAAGAGCCGGUGAAAGGCCUGGCCAUUUCACAUUUAUGCAAUUUUUAAUGAAUGUGUUAUUCAUUUAUGCAAAAAAAAUGAAAUGUACUACAUAGACUUUAUUCAGAGUUUGCUUGUUAGCUUUGUACCCAUUUUUCAUACAGAUCAUAUAAUAUGCAUUCACUCAAAAUGCAGUAUUGCUGAUUGCAUGUUCAUCUUUCGUGGGAAUAGGGCGUGAAGUUUAAUAAUCAUUUACUUCAAGGCAAGAAAUAUAUGACGACCACAGUGGGCGAAGCAUCUAUGCUGCAAGCCUUUUAUAAGUGCUGCCUUGGAGCUCAGACAUCAAGCUAUUUGCAGAAAGAAAAAAAAAAAGAAAAAAAAGAUUAUCUAGGAGCAUGUCACCUUGGGAGGAUGCGCCAUGCACAGACACUGUCCAUGGUGCUGAAACAGGCACAAGCCUCAAAAUACUCAGAAAUAUUAUUAAUUAUUAAUUCUAAGGAAUGAUUACAACCCAAAAGCAACCAUUUUCCUCACAUUUGAAUAAGGCCUAGAUUAUAACGGGUCCUUGUAUGAGUAAUGACUUCUUAAACAGUUUAGAUCCAUUCUAUGUGAUUCACUUGACCCAGAAAAACAUGAUCAGCUCCUUCAGGAUCUGUAUUGCACACAACACACCAAACACGCAUACAUGUGUGUGUGUGUGUGUGUGUGUGUGUGUGUGUGAGAGAGAGAGAGAGAGAGUUUUGAUCUCAGACAAGAGGCAACUGGUCACCAUGGUAACAUCAGUACAUCAAGACUAACAUCACUACCUUGCAGAGAUCCAAUACAAAAGGCUGAAGGACUCAAUGGAGUAAAACAGGAGCUUAAUAGCCAUCGAAUGUGCACAUGGAAACCGGCAUUCACUUAUUAAAAAGAUGUGCCAAAUGAAUCACUUGAUGUGUUUUCAUUGAGAAGCUUACAUAAUACUGCAGUUUGUUAUUCAAGGUUUUUACAAAACAAAAGAAACAAUGUGAGUAAAGAUUCCAAAGGAUUCCAAGUUACUUUUCCAGUUAGUUCUUGAAUCCAACCAUGGCUGGCUGUAAUAUUACAAAGGUUCUUGUAACAAGCUCUUUCUCUCUUUACAGUUGUGGGUCUCUUUCUGUUUCUACAGAAAUAUAUUAAAACUUUACUCAAAAGCAAAA